rnacentral:rRNA from 1 species
CCUAAAAGAGAAAGCUCACCCCACCGACGGGUUGAUGAUUCUGAAGGCAGCAAAAGGAUAAGAUGUUCAUUGUCAGACCUUCCAGAGGACAUCUGGCAUCAUAUACAUUCCCUACUGCCAAUGCAAGAUGCUGCCCGUACCGCGUGUGUUUCUCACUUCUUUCUGCGCUCCUGGAGAUCCCAUCCCAAUCUCACCUUCACGAAUGAAAUGAUGUGCUGUAAAAGAAAUCUAAAAACAGCGGGACCGGAUAUUAUUAGAGACCACAACAACAAAAUUGACCGUGCUCUAAUGAAACACUCAGGCACUGGCGUGAAGAAAUUCAGGCUUGAAUACUUUGUUCCUUGUAAUGCAGAACCAUAUCAUCAUCUCAAUAGUUGGCUUCAGAUUGCUGUUACACCAAUGAUUCAAGAACUCAACCUUGUAGUAUGGCGAAGAAACAAAAAGCCAACGUUUAGCUUCCCAUGCACACUUCUAUCUGACAGGUGCCGAGACUCGAUUCAGAAUAUCCGCCUUGCCAAUUGUGUAUUACGUCCCACGUGUCAACUUGGCUUGCCAAGCUUGAAAACGCUUGAUCUGCAUAAUGUGUAUAUUACAGGGGAUGAGUUAGGGUGCCUUCUCUCCAAUUCCUUCGCUUUGGAACAGUUGAAGCUUGUAUUCUGUCAUGAUAUAAUUCACCUCGAGAUACCUUGCCUGCUGCAGCGUUUCAGUUUCUUGGAGGUGCUUGCAUGCUCGAGCCUUGAAGUGAUUCAGAAUAAAGCUCCAAAUCUCUCCAGAUUUUGGUUUACAGGUAAUCAAGUGCAAAUCUCACUUGGAGAUUCCCUGAACGUGAAGAACCUGAAGUUGGACCAUAGCUGUUCCAUCAGUUAUGCUAUUGACACCCUUCCUUCCGGUGUGCCCAACCUUGAGACACUAACCAUAAAUUCCACUCGUGAGAUAGCCAAUGCACCAAUGGCAUCUAGCAAAUUCCUCCACCUCAAGGUCUUGUGUAUUAAUAUUUUUGGAAGCAAUUUCCACCGGGACUACGAUUAUUUAUCGUUUGUUUCUUUUUUUGAUGCUUCUCCUUCCCUGGAGACUUUUCGCUUAUAUGUAGGUAGGCAGUUCAACUAUGACUCGUUUGAGGGAGAUUCCUCAUCCCUGAGGCGAAUUCCAGAACACCGCCAUGGCAACCUCAAGAGUGUGAAGAUCACCGGUUUCUGCCCCCAAAAGAGCAUGCUUGAGCUAACACGUGAUAUUCUUCAGAAUGCAGCAUCACUUGAGCGCCUUACAUUGGACGCUAGUCCUGUAAAUUACCGGUGUUCUGGUAAUAUACUGGGCAGCAAAUGCUUUCCAAUGCAAACUGCAUAUAUAAGGGAGGCACAUAAAUCAAUCUUGGCUGUGAGAACAUACAUUGAGAGCAAAGUUCCCUCUAAAGUCAAGUUAAAUGUUCUGGAGCCUUGCAGCCGGUGUCACCCUUUGUGA